UAAAUACUCCCUCCGUCCGAAAAUACUUAUCAUAGGAAUGGAUGUAUCUAGAUGUAUUUUAGUUAUAGAUACAUCCAUUUUUAUUCAUUUAUGUGAUAAGUAAUUCCGGACGGAGGGAGUAUUUA
rnacentral:pre_miRNA from 1 species